AAUACGCGAAAGCGUGACGGGGUCACCCCGAGUGCCGCCCGCUGAGGGUGGCUUUCCCCAGUGUAGCAAGCUGGGGGAAUAAGGGGAGGGCAAGUCGGGUGUCAGCCGCCGCGGUAAUACCCGCUCCCCGAGUGGUGGGGACGCUUAUUGGGCCUAAAGCAUCCGUAGCCGGCUGGGUAAGUCCCCUGUUAAAUCCAGCGAUUUAAUCGCUGGACUGCGGGGGAUACUGCCCAGCUAGGGGGCGGGAGAGGCCGGCGGUAUUCCCGGGGUAGGGGUGAAAUCCUAUAAUCCCGGGAGGACCACCAGUGGCGAAGGCUGCCGGCUGGAACGCGCCCGACGGUGAGGGAUGAAAGCUGGGGGAGCGAACCGGAUUAGAUACCCGGGUAGUCCCAGCUGUAAACGAUGCGGGCUAGGUGUUGGCACGGCUAUGAGCCGUGCCAGUGCCGCAGGGAAGCCGUUAAGCCCGCCGCCUGGGGAGUACGGCCGCAAGGCUGAAACUUAAAGGAAUUGGCGGGGGAGCACCACAAGGGGUGAAGCUUGCGGUUUAAUUGGAGUCAACGCCGGGAACCUUACCGGGGGAGACAGCAGGAUGAAGGCCAGAUUGAAGGUCUUGCCAGACAAGCUGAGAGGAGGUGCAUGGCCGUCGCCAGUUCGUGCCGUGAGGUGUCCUGUUAAGUCAGGCAACGAUCGAGACCCGCGCCCCCUGUUGCCACCGGCCUCUGCGCCGGGCACACUGGGGGGACUGCCGCCGAUAAGGCGGAGGAAGGAGCGGGCCACGGCAGGUCAGUAUGCCCCGAAUCCCCCGGGCCACACGCGAGCUGCAAUGGCAGGGACAAUGGGUUCCGACCCCGAAAGGGGGAGGCAAUCCCUAAACCUGCCGUAGUUGGGAUCGAGGGCUGCAACCCGCCCUCGU
rnacentral:rRNA from 1 species